UACGUAGGGUGCGAGCGUUAAUCGGAAUUACUGGGCGUAAAGCGUGCGCAGGCGGUGAUGUAAGACAGUUGUGAAAUCCCCGGGCUCAACCUGGGAAUUGCAUCUGUGACUGCAUCGCUAGAGUACGGUAGAGGGGGAUGGAAUUCCGCGUGUAGCAGUGAAAUGCGUAGAUAUGCGGAGGAACACCGAUGGCGAAGGCAAUCCCCUGGACCUGUACUGACGCUGAGGCGCGAAAGCUAGGGGAGCAAACAGG
rnacentral:rRNA from 1 species